CUGCUGCCUUCCGUAGGAGUCUGGUCCGUGUCUCAGUACCAGUGUGGGGGACCUUCCUCUCAGAACCCCUACGCAUCGUCGGCUUGGUGGGCCGUUGCCCCACCAACUACCUAAUGCGCCGCAUGCCCAUCCGUGACCGGGGUCGCCCCCUUUGGCCGGCAGGGGAUGUCCCCUCCCGGCAUUAUGUUGUAUUAGGCGGGAUUUCUCCCGGUUACUCCAUCUGUCACCGGCCGUAGGUUGCAUACGUUGUUACUCCACCCGUGCGCCGGUCGCCGGCGG
rnacentral:rRNA from 1 species